AUGGAUUCCAAAGAUAAAGGACUUUUUUCCAUGCAUGGUGGCAAUGGUCCUCUCAGCUAUGUCAAAAACUCAUCCUACCAGGGAGGAGUAUUGGAAGCUGCAAAGGCAAUCAUCGAAGAAGAAAUCGCCACAAGAUUGAGUGCGGCAACG